rnacentral:lncRNA from 1 species
UGAAGUCUCGUACUUUUCUCAUUUUUCUGCACUUAUAUACUUUUUAUCGGUGUCCCAAAAUUUUGAUGAAACCCCAAACUUAGGAUUUUCCACAGAUCCGGGUUAAACAACACUUAUCUAAGCAAGGUGUGGUAGUGUAUGGGAUUACGAUUAUAUACAGUGGUUAAAUAACAAACAAAAGGAAAUAUGGCUCAACUUGGGUGAAUGAAGGGUAAUAAUGGCGGUUGGCUGGAAAGGCUCAGGGUUAAAAUAAA